GAUAAACGCUGGCGGCGUGCCUAAUACAUGCAAGUCGAUCGAUGGAUGCCCAGCUUGCUGGGAGGAAAUAGAGGCGAACGGGUGAGUAAUACGUAAGCAACCUGCCCACGAAGACCGGGAUAAUCCCUGGAAACGGGGACUAAGACCGGAUAGGUAACAGAACCGCAUGAUUCUGUUAUUAAAGGUUAAAAACACUGGUGGAUGGGCUUACGGUGCAUUAGCUGGUUGGUGAGGUAACGGCCCACCAAGGCGAUGAUGCAUAGCUGGUCUGAGAGGAUGAACAGCCACAUUGGGACUGAGACACGGCCCAGACUCCUACGGGAGGCAGCAGUAGGGAAUUUUCGGCAAUGGGGGAAACCCUGACCGAGCAACGCCGCGUGAGUGAAGAAGGUCUUCGGAUUGUAAAGCUCUGUUGUAAGGGAAGAAAUGUACUGUGAGAAACAGUACUUGACGGUACCUUACCAGAAAGCUACGGCUAACUACGUG
rnacentral:rRNA from 1 species